UACGGAAGGCAGCAGUGGGGAAUAUUGCACAAUGGGCGAAAGCCUGAUGCAGCAUGCCGCGUGUAUGAAGAAGGCCUUAGGGUUGUAAAGUACUUUCAUCGGGGAGGAAAAACAAAACUAAUAAUUUUAUUUCUUGACGUUACCCGAAAAAGAAGCACCGGCUAACUCCGUGCCAGCAGCCGCGGUAAUACGGAGGGUGCUAGCGUUAAUCAGAAUUACUGGGCGUAAAGAGCACGUAGGUGGUUUUUUUAAGUCAGAUGUGAAAUCCCUGGGCUUAACCUAGGAACUGCAUUUUGAAACUGAAAUACUAGAGUAUCGUAGAGGGAGGUAGAAUUCUAGGUGUAGCGGUGAAAUGCGUAGAUAUCUGGAGGAAUACCUGUGGCGAAAGCGGCCUCCUAAACGAAUACUGACACUGAGGUGCGAAAGCGUGGGGAGCAAACAGGGAUUAGAUACC
rnacentral:rRNA from 1 species